UACGUAGGGGGCAAGCGUUGUCCGGAAUCAUUGGGCGUAAAGAGCGCGUAGGCGGCCCAGUAAGUCCGCUCUGAAAGUCAGGGGCUCAACCCCUGGAUGCGGGUGGAUACUGCUGGGCUAGAGUCCGGAAGAGGCGAGUGGAAUUCCUGGUGUAGCGGUGAAAUGCGCAGAUAUCGGGAAGAACACCCAUGGCGAAGGCAGCUCUCUGGGACGGUACUGACGCUGAGACGCGAAAGCGUGGGGAGCGAACAGG
rnacentral:rRNA from 1 species